AUAUAUUUAAUGAGAUUAAAAACUAUUUGCUUCCAAAUCUUCACGAAUCCUUGAAUAUUUCAGAUUUUACGUUUCACUGUACUGGACCAAGAAUCUAAAAAAUCCUUUUAGUGAAUUCGAAUAAAGUCGUUUUUGGUUUUAAGUGUAUUGACCUCUCUUUUGCUGGUCACGCUAAAGUUUAGAGCACUCAAAAGUUGUACUUAAGUGCUGUGUACUUCAACAGCAACAACAAUAAGAUCAUUAACUGUAUAUUGUUAAGGAGAAACUCGGAACAAACGCAUUCAACUAACAAUGAAACCAUUUUUAUCUAAUUAAUGUUCAUCACAUCAAAUUUGAUAAUGAGCGCAUUUCAUGUAAACUCAUGUGAAACGAUGGAAUCUGUCGAAUAAUAUUUUUUAUGUGCGAAUAUUCAGAAUUCUUCUAAAAGUCCAGUAAUUACAUACUAAUCGUUCGUAAAAUUAUGUUUACGGUUAGAUUACUAUUGCAUCGUAGGCCUAGCAUUAAUUGUCAAGUCAGCAAUUCAACAAUGAUAUUUAUAUGUGGCACAUAUUCUUUUUCUCA